UAAUUCUCUUUUAGUUGGUGCUAAUCGGAAAAAAAUUAACGCUUUCUUAUUAAGAAAUCUUGGUUAAAUGUUUUCAUGAGUAAUUAGCAGCCAUUUGUUUACAGAUUUGGCAAGCAAUCUUUUUUCACCUCAGUUUUUUUUGCAGCACAACUUGUAGACAGUGCAUGAAUGUUACAAACAGAUGGGGUGUUCUUGGAAAUUUCAGAAUUUUGUCAUGCUCACAGAUCAUCAAACAGUAGGUUUUCUCCCUUCUGAAUUUUCCCUCCUUGCAAACGACGAAUCAUACUACCUUAGGAAGAUGAGCAAUGUAAGCCAAUAAUCCAAACAAUGAGACCCUUGUUCUUGAUUUUGAAGAUGUUGGUGGGUCUGCUCAUAUAAUGAGCUUUGAUUUGUGGGAAUUCAGUCUUAAAUACUGAGUUAGAGGUUGGUUAAAUAUUCUGAACCAAGGUUGAUUUGAUCAAUACAGUUAAUCGAUGACAUGUAAAAAAUUCUCUUCAAUACAAAGCGCAACAUUCAACCACAACUUAUGUGCAAUUACAGUGUAAACAUGAACUAUUAUGUUAAUGGUAUUUACAUAAAGGAUGUCACAUAAAUUCUGAUUCAUUUUAGAUUUUAAAAUUGAAUGAGUUUCACACAUGUCAUAAUCUUAUGGUUAUGCAAGCCCACCGUCACGUGUCACAAUACAUGUCAAAUGGAAAACAAAUAGGCGGAUAUUUAUUAUUUCUACAUGUAUAAUUUGAUAUUAUAUUAUAUUAAAUAUAAUUAAUUUAAAUAUUUACUAACUUUUUUAUUGUAAAUACAUAGUUAUGUUUGUGAGAGCAUUGGUCAUCAUCAUGUUUGGAGAAAUCAUAUGCUCAACACGGUUACGGGAAUAUGAUUUUCAAUUAGAGUUUGGUAAUAAUAAUUAUGAACACAUUGUUAAAUUUAAAUUUCUAUAAAAAAAAUUGUCUAACUUAAUUGUCUUGAACAUGUUAGUUGGGUUCGAGAAAGGUCUAAGCAUUAUACAUAAAAUCCUACCCAUGUUCACGAGUUCUAUCGAGACGAGUUGGAUUCACAUGAGUCUCACCAGGUGAUAUGAACACCGUACAUCGUUGAUUUGAUUGGAAGCGCAUCUCCAUUUUGCAUGAAGGGAAGUGAUUUAUGGCUAGUAAUGGUUCAUAUGCACUGUUUUGUCAUAGUUAAAGUGUAUUGCUAUGAUCAUGAAAUGCAUCAGUUUGGAUUGCAUCAACACAUAUAUGUUGAUGUUGACACAUUUGAUAACAUGUAUGAUGUUAAUAAUCGAGGUAAAGAGGAAGAUGGUUGGUUGGUGGUUCAUGCACAAUAUGUCAAUUUGUGGCAUGCGUGGAGAGAUCACGUAUUUACAGCAUUGUAUCCGCCUAUUGAUUUAGAUCUCUACAUGAACAUAACAAAGCGAUUCAUAACACUACCAUGUGUUACGAGAUGUCCACGUGACACUUUGUGUCAGCCGACAUGUAAUCCAUAUAAUUAUGAGCCUCAUGCACCAAGAUAUAAUAUAUUGUUAUGUAUGGAAUAAUUUUUUUAACAUGUAAUAAAAUUCUUAUUUAUAUAUUAAAAAAGAUAAUAUAA